GUUAGCCUACGGGGGGCAGCAGUGAGGAAUAUUGGUCAAUGGACGCAAGUCUGAACCAGCCAUGCCGCGUGCAGGAUGACGGCUCUAUGAGUUGUAAACUGCUUUUGUACGAGGGUAAACCCCGAUACGUGUAUCGGGUUGAAAGUAUCGUACGAAUAAGGAUCGGCUAACUCCGUGCCAGCAGCCGCGGUAAUACGGAGGAUCCGAGCGUUAUCCGGAUUUAUUGGGUUUAAAGGGUGCGUAGGCGGUUUGAUAAGUUCGCGGUGAAAGGUCUGGGCUCAAACCCGAAACUGC
rnacentral:rRNA from 1 species